rnacentral:rRNA from 1 species
UACGUAGGGGGCAAGCGUUGUCCGGAAUUAUUGGGCGUAAAGAGCGUGUAGGCGGUCCGGUAAGUCGGCUGUGAAAGCCCAGGGCUCAACCCUGGGAUGCCGGUCGAUACUGCCGGACUAGAGUUCGGAAGAGGCGAGUGGAAUUCCCGGUGUAGCGGUGAAAUGCGCAGAUAUCAGGAGGAACACCAAUUGCGAAGGCAGCUCGCUGGGACGUUACUGACGCUGAGACGCGAAAGCGUGGGGAGCAAACAGG